rfam:Nocardia sp. NRRL S-836 P437contig2.1, whole genome shotgun sequence.
CUUCACCGACCCCAGCCACAACGGCUCCCGCCGGUCCUGGCCGUAGGUCGCGAGCAGCGCCUGCGCCUC